rnacentral:rRNA from 1 species
AACGAACGCUGGCGGCAGGCCUAACACAUGCAAGUCGAGCGAGGACUUCGGUCCUAGCGGCGGACGGGUGAGUAACGCGUGGGAACGUGCCCUUUGCUUCGGAAUAGCCCUGGGAAACUGGGAGUAAUACCGGAUGAGCCCUUUGGGGGAAAGAUUUAUCGGCGAAGGAUCGGCCCGCGUUGGAUUAGGUAGUUGGUGGGGUAAUGGCCUACCAAGCCGACGAUCCAUAGCUGGUUUGAGAGGAUGAUCAGCCACACUGGGACUGAGACACGGCCCAGACUCCUACGGGAGGCAGCAGUGGGGAAUCUUAGACAAUGGGGGAAACCCUGAUCUAGCCAUGCCGCGUGAGCGAUGAAGGCCUUAGGGUUGUAAAGCUCUUUCAGCGGGGAAGAUAAUGACGGUACCAGCAGAAGAAGCCCCGGCUAACUCCGU